GGGCGGCGGAGCCGGGGGCGGCCAUGGGGAACAUCUCCUCCAACAUCUCCGCCUUUCAGUCCCUGCACAUCGUCAUGCUGGGCCUGAAGUUCAACGAGUUCGUCAACACGGCGCCAUCAUCGGCGAGGGGCUGACCGAGGGCAUGGACAAGCUCUACGAGAUGAUCCUCAAGCGGAGGAAGUCCCUCAAGCAGAAGAAGAAGCGGUAGAAGCCUGCAGAUGUGCGGACGGCUGGGAGAGCAAACAAAGGAACGGAGGAGGAGAGAGAACCAAAGCGAUCCUUUUUUUGUUGGUUGAUUGUUUUUUUGUUGUUUUUUUUCUUCCCCUUUUUAUUCCAGUGUGUAUGUGUGUUUGUUUUUUUAUUUUAUUAUUUUUUUUGUCCCUUUCCGAUUGAAACGACUACAAUAGCAGUGAUAACAAAUACCCCUCCAAAAGGACAACCCAAACCCUCUGCAGGCUGGUGUUUUAGGAAGCAGAUGAAGAGGACAGACAGCUUUCAUGCAAUGCCGCAGCAGCUGGAAGUGCAUAUCAGCUGGUGACUGGUGUUGAGCUUUAAGCUGUUUGCUUAAAAAAA
rnacentral:lncRNA from 1 species